UAAGUCCCUUCCUUCCGUGUGAAUCACUUUGACAUUUAAAGAGUUCAUGGAACCAAGAAAAAGGUAAGGCCUAUUAUUGCAAAAAAGACAAUGCUGUCACCCUCAUGGAAUGUUCCUGGAUUCCUGCCAUGCAGAGAAAGGGAUGUGUCCUGGGUGGCAAGGAGAGGUGAUAGUCACCCUGGUGAUGAGUCGUCCAUCAAGUCCCUUGAGGUCUGUGAUCAUAGAUCAUCUAGUCAAUGAAGGGCCAGGCUCCUUGCAGGCUGGGCUCCGGUACUGGUAGUCCUGACUACCCUCUCAUCAUCCACAUCGUGUGAUCAAAAGGGAUUAAAUGAAUCCAGUCUUUCCUUUGCUCUCUCUCCCCAGAAGAGUAAAACAGACUGGCAAAUAUUUGCUUAAGACAGAUCCUUUCUGAUAACCAAACUGGAUGGCUUUCAGAGUAACCACAGGGGUAGGAUUAGAAUUGUCUGGGUGACUCGAAGGAGGUGGCUAAGGAAGGGAAGUUGGGUGUUACCAUGGAAAGCUGGAAUCCAGCUCUACUGAUCACCUCCCUAAGCACCACAUUGUGCACUGAACUCUCCUUAUCCUGCCCUGAAUCAGACUGCUGGUUGCCAUGGGGCGUGUUCAACACGUCGGAUGGGCUGCAUCAUGCCGCCUGUACCAACCGCCUGUGCCAGGGUGCUUGUCUGCUUGGUUGUCAAGGAAGACUCAAGUCAACAGAAGGGAAAGAUCCAUAAGGUGGGAAGAAAUGUUCUCCUUGAAUUGUGAUUCCGGAGACUAUGACUAAGGUUAUGAAACAGCCUAUUUCCUUUGCAGUUUUCCUGCCUUAUGACACAUCUCUUCUCAUUUUUCUCACAUUCUAGAGACCCAAUCUGAGAGGGAGCGUGUAGUUUCCAUCCUUCUUGGCUUAUUAUUUUUAUUACUCCCCUCCUUAGAUGCUCUGUAAGCUUCUGAGUUUGUUUGUUUGUUUGUUUGUUUGUUUGUUUAAGGGCCAGUUAUUUAAAACGUUUGAUGGUGUCCUCUGAUAUCCAUUGCUUGACUUAUUAACAUGUUCUCUUAAUAUUCCUACAGUCGGCAAUAGCUAACAGCUUGCUGAAGUUGCUAUGCUGUGGUUUCUUCUAAACUUGUCUGCUAGUGAGGGAGCUGGGGAGAUUCCCAUGCACAGAAAGAGGCAGGACUUCUCACCGGAAGGUUACACAAAGCAGACAGGAAUAAACUCCCUGGCUAAAGUGCGGCUCAGACCAAAAUAGAUCCACAUCUAUUGGAAUUGACAUGGAAGGCCAGUGGGGUUGGCACAUGGGGCAGGAGAAACACAAGAGUCCAAAUUGAGAUGGGCUGGGGAUAGAGAGGGCUGUUUGGAAAUCAGGAAGAUUCUGCACUAAGAAGAUGAGGUGAGUUCCUGAUGGGGACUUUGCUCAAAGCCAUGUGUCCAUUGGAGACAUAAAAAGAUGUUGUCUGACUAUCUAACAGGGGUCUCAGAUCUGUGCUGUUAGUACUUCUCUCUGGAAAAUUCCACUGGGAUUCUUCUCUUUGAUGUCACUGCCCUCCACUGACGUAGGACUGGGCCAUCAGGAUACAUGACAGCAUAAAUGUUAGACUGACAAAUGACUACGAGUAAAGAAACAGGAAUCCUGGUUUGGAGAGGCUGUUCAAUGGGUGUGAAUGCUUGCUUCAAAGUAUAACAACUUGAAUUCAGAUCCCCUGCACACAGGAACCAAAAACUAGGCAACUGUGAUCUCAGCACCUUCACAGGUGAAGACAGGAGGAUACCAGAGCUUUGUUGGCUGCCAGCCUAGCUCCAGGUUCACUGUGAGACCCGAGGGAACAGAGAAGAAAGUGAUAGACAGAACCAUCAAUGUCCUCAUGUGACCUCAACAUGUGUACACCUGCACAUAUACCACAAACACACAUGUACACACACAUACACAAGCGUAUACAUACACGCAAAUGCACACGUACUAAUAUACACAAACACAUACACACACACAUACAAACACACACACACAACACAACUGAACUUUGCAUCAAGAUUUUAAGACCUUGAUCACCACCCCAGAAAGCUUAGGCAGAGCUUCAAGGGAAAUUUUGUUUUAUGCCAGCAAUAACCAGCUUGCUUUCCUUAAAACAGACAUUAUUUUGUACUACAAAAAUAGUUUUAGGUUUGAGAAUUGCUGCUUGCUACAUAUUUCUCUCUUUCAGUAUCUGUUCUAUUCAUUAAUGUAUUCAAUCCUUCAAAGUUCUUCAGAAGGUAGCACAUUUCUUUUGUAUUGUGUGUAUGUGUCUGUGUGUAUGUGUUUGUAUGUAUUUGUACAUGUGUAUUCACAUGUAUGUGUACACUUGUGUGUGUGUGUGUGUGUGUGUGUGCUUAUCUCCACAAAAUAUCCAAAAUAACAGUUUAUCUGUUUAUAUUCCUAGUACUAUAACAGAAAUAUUCAAGCACCCACUGAGGCUCUGAGGAAGCAACUGAGGUCACCGGGCAUGGCGGCAGGAGCCCUGCUUUACCCAAGAAGGUAUCUUUGCAGGCUGUUGAUCUUUUUACAUGGACGUGGACUUCUGUCUUUUCUGGGCUGCUCCCUUGAACACGUUGUAAAAUGCAUGUUUAUGUUUGAAAUCAAACUGACUUCCCUAUCAGCAGGGACCUGUGCUAGGUGUGACCUGGGAAAGGAUUAGCUGCAAUUCCUGUUUCUUCUGAAUCUCCCUCUCGAGAAUUUGCAGCUCAGCAGCUUCCUCGUUGGGACAGUGAGCAAGCAAAGGUGUUCAAUUGGAUCAGAGCGCAAGGACACCAGAAACUUCAACAAUCAAAACAAAAUUAUUCAGAGGAGCAAAGAGAAAAAUGAUGGUCCUUUUUCUCACUCUUAUAUUUCACUGCUACACAGUUCCUGUUAAGCCAGGAUUGCCAAAGAUGAGUUAAACACAAAGCUGGUGCCGUAUUUUACUGUUCAUCCGUUAACUGGGAGCUCCUGCCCUUUCAGUACUGAGCUGUCCCGUCUCUCUGGUGUCUGACUUGUGAAUUGGAAGCUGGAAUGCAGGUCUAGCAGUUCCCUUGAAUAUAUUUUUUUCUGUUUGCUUGUU